rnacentral:lncRNA from 1 species
ACCCCCGUCACUCCCUCCCAAGUUCUUCGGCCACCCAAGACCUCCCUUCCUCAAGGACUUGUUCUUCCAGAGCUCCUGAUCUCAUCUUGGAACUAGUCUGACUGGAGGGCAGAGGACAAUACCAGCCUCUGGCACACAGACGAUGGUUGAGAAAUGCUUGUUGGCUGGGUGUGGUGGUGCAAGCCUGUAAUCACAGCACUUUGGGAAGUCAAGAAUUGCAGCCAUUUGCCUGGUUAUGUGCAAGGAAGGAAAACCCAAAAUAUUACCUAUGAGAGAGGAGGUAAGAUUGCCCCAAUCCAGUGUCAGUUGGAGGUAGCACUAACCCUUACCUCAUCUUCUUGCUAUUCACUUGAGAACUCAGUUGCUGCAGUCUCAGUAGUCUGGGCUUCAGGGCUGGCCAUGUGGGGGUUUCAAACCUUGACUUCUCUGCGUCCUGGGGUAAUUAUUUCACCUCUGAGCUUCAGUGUUCCCAUCUGA